rnacentral:rRNA from 1 species
UCAGGAUGAACGCUGGCGGCGUGCCUAACACAUGCAAGGUCGAACGGGGUUACUGGCAGCGGAGAUUCGGUCAAAGCAGCUUUAACCUAGUGGCGGACGGGUGAGUAACGCGUGGGGAACCUGCCCUGUACUGGGGGAUAACAGUGAGAAAUCACUGCUAAUACCGCAUAAGCGCACAGCAUCGCAUGAUGCAGUGUGAAAAAACUGAGGUGGUACAGGAUGGCUCCGCGUUGGAUUAGCCAGUUGGCGGGGUAACGGCCCACCAAAGCGACGAUCCAUAGCCGGCCUGAGAGGGUGAACGGCCACAUUGGGACUGAGACACGGCCCAGACUCCUACGGGAGGCAGCAGUGGGGAAUAUUGCACAAUGGGGGAAACCCUGAUGCAGCCGACGCCGCGUGAAGGAAGAAGUAUCUCGGUAUGUAAACUUCUAUCAGCAGGGAAGAUGAUGACGGUACCUGACUAAGAAGCCCCGGCUAACUACGUGCCAGCCGCUGC